AUUGAACGCUGGCGGCAGGCUUAACACAUGCAAGUCGAGCGGAGAUGAGGUGCUUGCACCUUAUCUUAGCGGCGGACGGGUGAGUAAUGCUUAGGAAUCUGCCUAUUAGUGGGGGACAACAUUCCGAAAGGAAUGCUAAUACCGCAUACGUCCUACGGGAGAAAGCAGGGGAUCUUCGGACCUUGCGCUAAUAGAUGAGCCUAAGUCGGAUUAGCUAGUUGUUGGGGUAAAGGCCUACCAAGGCGACGAUCUGUAGCGGGUCUGAGAGGAUGAUCCGCCACACUGGGACUGAGACACGGCCCAGACUCCUGCGGGAGGCAGCAGUGGGGAAUAUUGGACAAUGGGGGGAACCCUGAUCCAGCCAUGCCGCGUGUGUGAAGAAGGCCUUAUGGUUGUAAAGCACUUUAAGCGAGGAGGAGGCUACUGAGACUAAUACUCUUGGAUAGUGGACGUUACUCGCAGAAUAAGCACCGGCUAACUCUGUGCCAGCAGCCGCCGUAA
rnacentral:rRNA from 1 species